AAGGAAUCUAGAGUGCUUGAAGGCAUCCUUUUAUGACUCAGAUGUUCCCAUCAAAACUGCUGUUGCAUUUGUCAACUAUGAUGAAUGAGGUUAUUGACUGAAGACAUCUCUGUCCUAGUCAUAUCCACAGAAAAUGGACACCUGAGUGCUCUCAAAAUCAAUGUAGUUUUCCUACUACCAGUGCACAUGUAUUUCAAGAGAAAAGGAAAAUGUAAAGAUGGAUGAUGUGAAACAGUUUACUCACCGUUAUUCAAGUCAACAAGAAUAAAAUGCUUCAGGGAAACACCUUCAGGAUUUCAGAGAGCUCAUCUUCCUGCCAGCUCCUGCAGUUCUCCAGUGGCACAGCAAUCUGUGGGAGGUGACAGCUAGCUGAGCAGAUUUGCUUUUAAAAUACAUUCUCUGUGACCCUUGAACUGAGAGGCUGAAGAGGUAUAAAGUGAUAUUUGAUGACUACUGAUAUGCCUGCACUGGAACAAUCCACAUUCCUAGUUAAUUACUUUAAUUUCUAAGAACUGUCCACCAGAGAACCCAGGUUUGAACAGAGCUGGGUUAACACAGGUAAACUUGUUGUUACUGAGCUGGGUCAAGAACUAGUAAUAAUGAAGCAAGGAAUAGCAUUACCUUAUGCCUCUCUGUUACUGCAGUCAUACUGCAUUGGAACAAGAAUUGCUGAUCCAUAUUGCUGUGUCAUGUAGCCACAGUGGCUUACCUAGGUUUUCUGCAAAAUUUGGGUUCAGUUCAUAACU